GGAAAGGCUUACGGUGGAUACCUAGACACCGAGAGAUGAGGAAGGGCGUAGUAAGUGACGAAAUGCUUCGAAAAGUUAAAAAUAAGCGUAGAUCCGAAGAUUCUCGAAUAGGUCAACCUUUCGAACUGUUGUUGAAUCCAUGGGCAGACAAGAGACAACUUGACGAACUGAAACAUCUUAGUAACCGAAGAAAAAGAAAGAAAAAAUGAUUUCCGUAUUAGCGAUGAGCAAAAUAGGAGUAACCUAAACCGUGAAAAUGAGGUUGUGAGAGAGCAAUAAAAGCGUCGUACUGUUAGACGAAGCGGUAAAGUACCGAACCCUAAAUGGUGAUAAUCCAGUAGCGGAAAGCAUCACUAACUUACACUCUGACCCGAGUAGUAUGGGGUACGUAAAAUCCCAUGUGAAUCAGCAAGGACCACCUUGCAAUGCUAAAUACUCCUAGGUGACCAAUAGCAAAGUAGUACCGUGAGGGAAGGGUGAAAAGAAGCCCCGUCGAUGAGUGAAAUAGAACAUGAAACCGUAAGCUCCCAAGCAGUGGGAGGAGCUUGGGGCUCUGAUCCCAUGCCUAUUGAAGAAUGAGCCAGCGACUCAUAGGCAGUGGCUUGGUUAAGGGAACCCCCGGAGUCGUAGCGAAAGCAAGUCUUCAUAAGGUAAUUGUUACUACUUAUGGACCCGAACCUUGGUGAUUUAUCCAUAACCAAGAUGAAGCUUGGGUGAAACUAAGUGGAGGUCUGAACCGAAUGACAUUGAAGAAUCAACGAAUGAGUUGUGGUUAGGGGUGAAAUGCCACUCGAACCCAGAGCUAGCUACUUCUCUUCGAAAUGAGUUGAGGCGCAGUAGUUGAUUGGACAUAUAGAGGUAAAGCAUUGUUUCGGUGCGGGCCGCGAGAGCGGUACCAAAUCGAGGCAAACUUUGAAUACUAGAUAUGACCUCAAAAUAACAGGGUCGAGGUCGACUAGUAAAAUAAUGGGAGAUAAGCUUCAUCGUCGAGAGGGAAACAGCUCGGAUCACCAACUAAGGCCUCUAAAUGACCCAUCAGUGAUAAAGGAGGUAGGGGUGCAAAGACAGCCAAGAGGUUUGCCUAGAAGUAGCCACCCUUGAGAGAGUGCGUAAUAGCUCACUGAUCGAGCGCUCUUGCGCCGAAGAUUAAUGAGGCUAAGCGAUCUGUCGAAGCUGUGGGAUGUAAAAAUGCAUCGGUAGGGGAGCGUUUCACCUUAAAGGGAAGCAUCCGCAUGAGCGGGAAUAGACGAAGUGAAAGCGAGAUGUCGGCUUGAGUAACACAAACAUUGGUGAAAAUUUAAUGCCCCGAAAACCCAAGGGUUCCUCCGCAAGGUUCAUCCACAAAAGGUGAGUCAAGGCCUAAGAUCAGCUCAAAAGGCGUAGUCGAUGAACAACAGGUGAAUAUUCCUGUACUACUCCUUGUUGGUUCCGAGGGACGGAUGAGGCUAGGUUAGCUGAAAGAUGGUUAUCGGUUAAAUGAUGUAAGGUGCCCUGCUUUUUCAAGGUAAAAAGGGGUAGAGAAAAUGCCUCGAGCCAAUGUUCGAGUAUUAGGUGCUACGGUGUUAAAGUAACCCAUGCUAUACUUCCAGGAAAAGCUCGAAUGACCUUCAACAAAAAGAUACCUAUACCCGAAAUCGACACAGGUGGGUAGGUAAAGAAUACCUAGGGGCGUGAGAUAACUCUCUCUAUGAAACUCGGUAAAAUAACCCCGUAACUUCAGGGCAAGGGGUGUCUCCUCAUAAAGGAGGUCGUAGUGACUAGACCCGGGUGACUAUUUACCAAAAACACAGGUCUUCGCAAGGUCGUAAGACCAUUUAUGGUGGCUGACGCUUGCCUAGUACCGAAAGGUUGAGAAAGUUGAUGACCUGAUAAUAGGGGAGCCGACAACUUAAGCCCCGAUGAACGGCGACCGUAAUUAUAACGAUCCUAAAGUAGCAAAAUUCCUUGUCGGGUAAGUUUCGACCCGUACGAAAGGUGUAACGAUCUGGGCACUGUCUUAGAGAGAGGCUUGGUGAAAUAAACAUGUCUGUGAAGAUGCGGAUUACCCGCACCUAGACAGAAAAACCAUAUGAAGCUUCACUGUUCCUUGGGAUUGGCUUUGGUCUUUUCCUGCGUAGCUUAGGUGGAAGGCGAAGAAGGCCUCCUUCCGUGGGGGCCUAAGUCAUCAGUGAGAUACCACUCUGGAAGAGCUAGAAUUCUAACCUUUUGUCAAGACCUACGGGCCAUGAAAAAGUCUCAAGUAGACAGUUUCUAUGAGGCGUAGGCCUCCCAAAAGGUAACGGAGGCGUGCAAAGGUUUCCCUGGGUCGGACGGAGAUUGGCCCUCGAGUGUAAAGGCAGAAAAGAGCUUGACUGCAAGACCCACUCGUCGAGCAGAGACGAAAGUCGGCCUUAGUGAUCCGAUGGUGCCGAGUGGAAGGGCUGUCGGUCAACGGAUAAAAGUUACUCUAGGGAUAACAGGCUGAUCUUCUCCAAGAGCUUACAUCGACGGGAAGGUUUGGCACCUAGAUGUCGACUCUUCGCCACUUGGGGCUAUAGUAUGUUCCAAGGGUUGGGCUGUUCGCCCAUUAAAGCGGUACGUGAGCUGGGUUCAGAACGUCGUGAGACAGUUCGGUCCAUAUCCGAUGUGGACGUUAGAGCAUUAAGAGGACCUUUCCCUAGUACGAGAGGACUGAAAAACAUGCACCUCUGGUGUACCAGUUAUCGUGCCCACGAUAAACGUUGGGUAGCCAAGUGCAGAGCGGAUAACUACUGAAAGCAUCUAAGUAGUAAGCCCACCCCAAGAUGAGUGUUCUCUUAUUUCGACUUCCCAAAGCCUCCGGUAGCACAGUCGAGACGACAAGGGGUUCUCUGUCCUUACAGGGAUCGAGUGACAAAAGUUUUGAGAAUUCAAGAGAAGGUCACGACGAGACGAGCCGUUUAUCUUUACGAUAGGUGUCAAGUGGAAGUGCAGUGAUGUAUGCUGCUGAGGCAUCCUAACAGACCGGUAGACUUGAAC
rnacentral:rRNA from 1 species